rnacentral:lncRNA from 1 species
UCUGCAGGAUUUACGCGCACGUUGGAACCGAAGAGAGCUCUGUUGUUGCAAUGUUCAGCCCACAAGAGCUUACUGGUGAAGGAAUGGGACAAGACCCAUCUUUAUGCAAAGCCAGCGUUACAGUAAUGUUCCAGCAUCUCAUAAUCUAUCCUGGGGAAUUCAGCUGCCUCCCAGGGUGAAUACAGGUAUUCCUGAUGACAGUCUGCCUCUAUCUUACAGUACUACUAACCAAUAACCUGCUUGGCUCAAAGGGCCAGCACCUUCUCUCUAAAGCCCAAGAGGAGUUUGAGGUAAAUGGCUUUGCAAUAGUUACCAUCAAUGGCUGCUAUAUAAAAUUUUCUGUGAUUUUUGUGUGUGAUAGCACUGUGGUCUGGGUGAAUGUACACAGACAUAACUGGCUUAACCCAAAGUCUUUGAUCUCCUGAACCACCAGUGAUGAAUUGCUGCUCACCAGUGAUGAGUUGAAUACCGCCCCAGUCUGAUCAAUGUGUGACUGAAAGGUAUUUUCUGAGCUGUGAGCCUGCCUUCCAGUGACAUGUUCUAAAAAUUGCAAGUUAUUUGAGGAGGCUUUACAGCCAAUAGGAAGUUCUUGGGCUAAGUAGUGUUUCCUAUAAAAUGUGCCCUGAAACUUCUUUCUGCCAAGCAAUAGAUACAAUUGAGAGAUUGUAAAAUGUGACAUAGAAUGAAAGUCUCUCAAGACUACAUUUUUCUUUCUUGAUUUUGCAGGAAAACUAGGUGUCUGUGUUCACUCCAGGCUGAAGUUACAGGU